UACGUAGGGUGCAAGCGUUAAUCGGAAUUACUGGGCGUAAAGCGUGCGCAGGCGGUUUUGUAAGUCAGAUGUGAAAUCCCCGGGCUUAACCUGGGAACUGCGUUUGAAACUACAAGGCUAGAGUGUGGCAGAGGGGGGUGGAAUUCCACGUGUAGCGGUGAAAUGCGUAGAGAUGUGGAGGAACACCGAUGGCGAAGGCAGCCCCCUGGGUUAACACUGACGCUCAGGCACGAAAGCGUGGGGAGCAAACAGG
rnacentral:rRNA from 1 species